GCACUUACAUUGAAGCAGAGGCUGAAUUUACAUCAGCCUGAGAACUUCUCAAAAUGUUGGGAGCAUCUCUCAUUGUCCUUCUGGGGAUCUGGUGCACAGGAUCCAGUUCCCAGCCUACAGUGAUUCAGGAAUCCUCCAUGUCACCUGCCCCAGGACAGACGGUCAAACUCUCUUGUUCCCUGAGCAGUGGACAAGUACAAAAUUAUGACCAAUCCUGGUAUCAACAGAAAGAAGGAAGUUUUCCAAGAUUCCUUUAUCGUUACUACAGCAGUGUAACCGCAGGCACUGGAGACCUCAGCCGCUUCUCUGCCUCCAAGGAAAGCAACCAAAAUAAAUGGUAUUUGACCAUCACCAAUGUCCAGCUAGAAGACGAGGCUGAUUAUCACUGUGCUGUGUGGUAUAGUGAUAGUAAUGGGUAUGUCUUCGGCAGUGGAACGGAACUGUCAGUCUCAGGUCAGACCAACGUAUCGCCUUCGGUGCAAGUGUUUGCUCCUUCCCAGGAAGAGGUCAGAAAUCCGAACCCAUAUACAUUUGUGUGUCUCCUAACCGAAUUUUACCCUCCUGCAUUCGAAUUGCAAUGGAAGGUCGAUGGUAAAGUGAUAACCUCUGAAGUGGAGACCACCAAAGCCAGCAAACAAGAUGGGAAAUAUCUUGCCAGCAGUUACAUGAAAAUGACUGAGGCUGAGUAUCGAGACCAUAAGGCUGUCACCUGUGAAGUGACACAUGACAGUAAGACCAUUGCAAAGUCUGUGUCGAAAUCUGGAAGUUGUUAACUCUAACAUGAAUUCCUUUCCUGCCAUCAGGAAGGAGAAAUGAGUCCCUUCUCCUGGGCUCUCGUUCAUUCUUUCCUAAACUUAGUUUGAUCAAUAAUAUCUCUUUCUAACCCAUGUAGUUACACCCUUUGUAGCCCCUCCAUGCCUUCGCCCUUGAAAUCGAUCCCCCCCCACCUUUUGAUUCUAGUAUUAGAUUCUACUGUCAGCAUAUUAAUAAAGAUGGAUGUAUUUCA